UGACCGCGACCCUCCAUCGGUCCAGCCAU
rnacentral:sRNA from 1 species